GCCAGGUGGAGUGGUGCGUGCACCGCUAGUCCCAGUCCUCAGGAGGCUGAGGUGGGAGGAUCACGUGAGCCCAGGAGUUCUGGGCGGUAGUGUGCAAUGCCCAUCAGGUGUCCACACUAAGUCCAGCAUCAGUAUGGCGACCUCCCAGGAAUGGGGGAUCCACCAGGUUGCCUAAGGAGGGGUGAACUGGCCCAGGUAAAAAACACAGCAGGUCAGAACUCCCGUGCUACUCAGUAGUGGGAUCGCCCUGUGCGUAGCCACUGCACUCCAGCCUCGGCUACAUAGUGACAUCCCAUCUCU
rnacentral:SRP_RNA from 1 species